rnacentral:rRNA from 1 species
UACGGAGGGGGCUAGCGUUGUUCGGAAUUACUGGGCGUAAGGGGCGCGUAGGCGGCGAUUCAGGUCAGGCGUGAAAGGCCUGGGCUCAACCCGGGAACUGCGCUUGAUACUGGAUUGCUUGAGUCCGGGAGAGGAUGGCGGAAUUCCCAGUGUAGAGGUGAAAUUCGUAGAUAUUGGGAAGAACACCGGUGGCGAAGGCGGCCUUCUGGACGAUGACUGACGCUGAGACGCGAAAGCGUGGGGAGCAAACAGG